GUCUUUUAAACAAUAGUCCUAAACCAACUUAAAAAUAACAUGCUCUUUCCCAAAAUAUUUUCUAUGUGCUUGGCAGGCUGGGCUGUCCAACUGCUAUGUCUCAUUUAAUCAUUGUUCCAGACCUGAAGGAAGCGAGCGUUAUUAACCCCAGUGCACAGGUAAAGAAAUAAACUCAGAAAAGUUAAGUGGCUUGCUCAUGGCCACACCGUUAUUGGGUUGCCAGAGUUGAUGUUGAGUCUUGAUUUAUACACAAUUCAGUGUUUUAUUGAGUUUCUGAUUUAUAUGGAGGUACCCAUGAGAUUUUUUUUUUUACCUUACUGCUAUUUCUUAAAAAAAUAUUUCUUUCCUCUAAGAGUAUAAUAUCUCAGUAGUGACAAAAGUAUUGUUAGAAGUUUCUCCUAGUCUGCUUUGGACAAGAAUGGGUGGGAGAAUCUUGUAAGAACUUAUCAGUUUCACACCUCUUCUAUUGCUGGGAGACCAAACUUUUAAUUUAAAGAGGUAAGUCACUUAGGCAAAGACAGAUUUGGACUCCUUUUCAAAUUAUUAUAAUUAAUAUUGAUAAAUUAGUAUAAUUGCUUUUGAUAAAUUACUAGAAAAAUGGAAGAGAUUUGUUACCACCUUCUACAAGGAAAAUGAGCACUUAUGGGGUCUUUGCCACAUUAACAGCAUUACUCAAGAGAGGCACCCUGUCUAAGUGCCUAUGCAUCAAAAAUGUGCACGAAUGUACUUGGGCUAUUAUUUAGUCUCGUGCUUAGCAAGGUAGCCCUGCCCCAGACAGUCAUGGAUUCCAGCGAGGGUGCAGUAAUUACAGGGCCUCUACUGAGGCAGUGCUGUGGAGUUUUACUCUUUUUUUUAAAACAUUAAUUAAUUAAUUAAUUAAUUAAUUAAUUAAAUGUAUGUGAGUACACUGUGGCUGUCUUCAGACACACCAGAAGAGGGCAUCAGAUCACAUUAUAGAGGUUGUGAGUCACCAUGUGGUGGCUGGGAAUUGAACUUAGGACCUCUGGAAGAGCAGCUAGUGCUCUUAACCUCUAGCCAUCUCUCCAGCCCAGAGUUUCUCUCUUACAAGACACUGAGUCUACAGGGAUCUGAGGGAGCAACUCCUAUGUCACCAGGGAAACAGUACUGCAUGCUUACAAAUGGUUAAAGUGAUGAGUUUAAGGUUUUAACACAAUAAAACAACAACAACAACAACAACAACAACAAAACCAUUAUUCUAUUUUUCCCACUAAGUGGUUUCGAAUAAAAAUGUAACCUUGAUGCUUUCGCUUGACUUUGUUUUUCAAUCAUGUUUUGACAAGGAAGAAGGAAACAUUGUUUUCCCAGACAGUUUAAGGAAAAUAAAUAUGUGGGGUGCUUGGAUUAUCACCUUAGAAUGUCUUUUUCUGGCUACCAUACGUGAAUAUGUAUGCUUCAACUUCCACUCCUUCUUUUUAAAAAGCACUUUUUAUUUUGUGCCAGACACUCGAGGUACAUAUCUUAUACUCUUUUUAGAAAUUAGGAUAGUGAGAGGCUGGAGAGAUGAUGGCUCAGCAGUUAAAAGCACUGAAGGCUCUUUCCAGAGGACCCAGGUUCAGUUCCCACCACCCACAUGGCAGCUCACGACUGUCCGUAACUCCUAGAUCAAACACCCUCAUAUAGGUAGGCAAACCACCAGUGCACAUAAAAUAAAAAUAAAUUUUAAAAAAGAAAUAAGCUUGCAAUUUAGUGCCAGGCAGUGGUGGCGCACGCCUUUAAUCCCAGCACUUGGGAGGCAGAGGCAGACAGAUUUCUGAGUUCGAGGCCAGCCUGGUCUACAGAGUGAGUUCCAGGACAGCCAGGGCUACACAGAGAAACCCUAUCUCGAAAAACCAAAACCAAAACCAAAACCAAACCAAACCAAAAAGAAUCAUAGUUAAAAGAGAAAUUAGGACAUUGAGUUUGGGCAGUUCAGCUAACAGGAGUAAGGGGUGGGAGCCAAACACUCUGAUUCUGAGAUUCUUGCUUCUGAGCCUGUGGUUGUGGCACCUGUGGGCUGUGGUUGUGACGUCUGUUUCUGUGGAAGGCUACCCAGAUGGGAGCCCUUCUCAAAAUCAGAUGUAUGAGUUCUGAGGAAUUAUAAAGUUGAGUUCGUAAUAAAUUAACGUUAUCUUUCCAUCCCCAGCUUCCCCACAAUGAACUAUGGCUUUUCUGGAAAGAGUAUUUAUUAAAUAGUGCAUUUUAGCUGGUACGUAAUGAUAUAUAACAGCCGGCUGCAUGGUACUAGCAUAUUGAAGCUCUAUGUGAUAGGAUAACAUGAUUUUAAUUCUUGGAGUUUGAAACAUAUCUGUUUCAUAAUGAGCCCCCAGUUGUAUGCCACGUCCUGCCUUUAUUAAAUUGUACAGAGCCAUCCCUUUGUAAAGUCAGACUGACUCCUUCCUCCUUGUAGGAAGACAGAUUAAUAAUAUUUCACUAUUAAUUAGGUCCCAUCUGCUCAUCCUGCUUUCCAUUCUAAAGGUUAUACUUAUUACCAUAUUCGCAAACCAACCCAACUGUGUAAUCAAAGUU
rnacentral:lncRNA from 1 species